CUGUACACCUCGCGUUUUCCAUUGUGACAUAUAACUGGUGUAAAAAUCUCUCAGUAUAACCAGUUUUUUUAUUUCUAUACAAAUUUAAGCCACAGUUGAUAUUUACGUAUAUAUUCCAGAAACCUGUCAUUAGACAUGUUCUAUCAAAAGGGUUUUUGUGGAGAGUGGCUUAGACCCGCCUUCGCUGUAGGCGAAUCAUGGCUGUAUGCUUUAACAACUGGUGCAAAAUCAUGCCAUGUCCGCGCAUGAUCAGUGGGUGAUUUAUUGGGACGUGUUCCAAAAAAUAUAUUAGUACUUAAUAGUCGAUCGACUUUAGAUUGAGGCGUACAGUCAAGAAGAAAGAGACGAAAAUUCAAGGCUUUAGUAAACUGUCUUAAUAACAAAUGCAAGUAUGGCUGGCAAAGGCAAAAUGCAGAAGAAUUUACCAAAAACCAAAGUCAUGGAAAACCGACGUCAAUAUCGUGACGGGCCAUCCACACGACGUGAUAUUCCAAACGCUAUCAACCUGGACGACGAUCAGCUUCCAGAUGACGAUCCAGAUAGGAGAUGUAGAUGUUCGUGCUGAGGAAAAGAAUGUAGAAAGACUCGCAGUUUAAGGAAAAUGCAAUGGAAUAUCAGCUCAACAAUUUUCUCGAGAAUUUUGGAGUCGACAUUUUACAAGUCUUGAAUGAAGCCUGGAAACUUUGUGUCUUGGUUUUAUCAGUGUUUAACACUUGCAGAUCUACUUCUGAUUAACAGGGUAAAGCAUACUUUCUCUUGAUUGUUAACUUGCUUAGAUUUUCGUUACAUGAUUUUUAAAAUACAUACAUAUCUUUAUUUUAGACAUAUCACGUGUAACCGAAGUUGUAGAGAGAGCUAAUUCUAAAUUUGAGAUUUCGAAUUAAUGUGCUGUACUUAAGCUACUCAUGUAGUACUUUUAUAUAUCUUAAACAUAUUUAAACCACGGGUUUAUACACUUUAGUAAGGGAUGUUAGGUGCAUGCGUCCUUAGAUACUUUCCAUUUGAGCAUAGUUUUCAACAAGUAUGCAAAUUAGGCUUCUGUGGCCAUUUUAGCAGAUCACGUGACACAUUUUACCCUUUCAUUCUAUUUUCUAUCUUAGUUUAUCACACAGUGGUGAAGCAUUGUGUGCUAAAUCCACGUAAAAACCUACGAAAAAUGCCGAAAGUGUCUUUGAAAAAAAGCAGAGGGAAGUUUAAUAUGCCAUUUGAUAUGACAAGUUCAAUAGUGCAGGUCUUGUUUCCGCAAAAUGCAUCUCGAUACCUACCAUUUUGAAGAAAACUAAUUUCGUACUGUAAAAUAAAAACUAUAAACGCUAGAAUGAUUGGACUUCGUCUUGUCUUCAAAAAUUCUGUAACAUUUUAAUUAUCUGCAAGGAAAAAGUUUCUAAAUCUUAUAAAAUCGUUUGACUGCAGUUCAAUUAUUGAAUUGAAUACGAUUACAGUUUUUUUCCUGCUUUCUCUUCAGUCACAAAACAUACAUUAUCUUUCUCACCAAAACAUUAGCAACUGUAAUCCAAUUACAGACAGUUUUAUGUUAUUAUUUCUCGGAAUACAGUUCUGUCUGUAUGUCUGUAUAUGUAUUUUCUGUGGGUGGUAUUUUGUUGAAUCUAAUUAAAUCGUGUGAGUUUAUUAUCUCA